GAUGGAGUAAUUCAAUGGCAGAAUGUUGUACUACGGAUACAUAUAUGUAAGUUCAAGUCUUACCUUCAUCU
rnacentral:tRNA from 1 species